rnacentral:tmRNA from 1 species
GGGGGCGACCAGGUUUCGACGUGGUCGGUUCUCCGGUCGAGCAGCGAGCCGAGGUCGCCGGUAGGCCUCGUAAAUCAACCGGCACACAAAGCAAGUGCGAAGAACGAUCUCGCACUCGCCGCCUAGUUCACUCUAGGUAAGGCGACGUCCCACCCGGUUCGGCCCGAGACCGGGAAUGGGGCGCCAACGAUCGGGCUCGGCACCGACGGAGAGCCAAUCGCCGGAGGCGCGACAACGUAGGAUGGCUGGCCCGUCGGUAGGUCGUCCGCGAACCGGCCGCCGGGCGAGAGCAAAGCGCGGACUACGCUCGUAGACGUUCGGUCGGUGCGGCCUCGGACGCGGGUUCGAUUCCCGCCGCCUCCAUCA